rnacentral:rRNA from 1 species
AACGAACGCUGGCGGCGCGCCUAAUACAUGCAAGUCGAGCGAGAAGACGUAGCAAUACGUUUGUAAAGCGGCGAACGGGUGAGGAAUACAUGGGUAACCUACCCUCGAGUGGGGAAUAACUAGCCGAAAGGUUAGCUAAUACCGCGUACGCUCCUUGGACUUCGGUUCAGGGAGGAAAGCGAUACCGUGGGUAUCGCGCUCUUGGAUGGGCUCAUGUCCUAUCAGCUUGUUGGNGAGGUAACGGCUCACCAAGGCUUCGACGGGUAGCUGGUCUGAGAGGACGAUCAGCCACACUGGCACUGCGACACGGGCCAGACUCCUACGGGAGGCAGCAGUAAGGAAUAUUGCGCAAUGGGCGAAAGCCUGACGCAGCGACGCCGCGUGGGGGAGUGAAGGUC